rnacentral:sRNA from 1 species
ACUUGAUCCUUGAUAUUGCAUCUAUCACAGAGGACAACACUCACACACCGGGAGAGCUUAGGGUGACCACUAACAGACAAUUGUUUCGCUUGGAAGGGAAGCAGGAGAGACCAAGAGCUCCAUAUAAAGCAGGUGCAGCGGGAUCACUGCUGGUGGGACCCAGCAGAGCAGCAGUAGGGCAGCAGCUGUGCGAACCUGUGGAAACCACAGAUGUCAGCUGGACCUAUACGGCACCAUGAGAGGAAAACUGAAGGACAGGUAGAAACCAUCAUGGCAUGCUACGUGGUGAUAGAUGCAUGGGGAGAAGCUGCCGUGUCCACAGAAGGAGUGUGGAGGGCUGCAUGGUCCAGCUGAGCACUGGGGGACACCUAGUGGAACAGUGUGGAUACCAAGAGAGUAAAGCCCAUGGAACUGCCAGAAAUACUUGAGAAAACUUUGCCAGAAACUGAAAUUUCUGCAUGAGAUGAGGGGCCCCAGAGCUAGGUCAUCUGCGUGAUUCCUGUGAGAAGCCCUUUGGGAUAACUUGCUCCAUUGGCUGGCUGAGGAGCUCUCAGAAGAAAAUGCUAAGUCUCUUUCCUCAACUCUCCCUCUGCGCCAUAGCACCAUUCAGCUCAUCAAACUCAAGAACCCUGAUGAUCUCACAGAACAGAUCCACGAGUUUCUUUGCUUCUGGAAAAAAUCGCUUCCAACUUUCACCGACAAACUUCGCCUCCUGGUUCGACAUCUCCGCAAGAUUGGCAGGAGUGAUCUUGCAGAAGAGCUCAAAUUCAAGUGGGAAAAUAAAGUGUUCACUGAACCACAGCAGGUUUUGAUGUAGCCCCUGAGUAAAAGCCUGAUCUCUCUUCCUUUACCCCUAGGAAAAGGCACACGGUGGGUUUUUGUUUCUGUCAACAUUUUCCUGGCAGUUUCCGAAUGAUAUUAUUUGAAGUCAGUCUAUUUAAUGAUGUGCUAUUUAAUGAUGUGCUAUUUAAUGAUGUGCUAUUUAAUGAUGUGAGACAAAGGGAGAAGCACGGAUCAGAUAAUAGAAAGCAUUCCUGGGUGUGAGCACUCCUCUCUGGUUGACUGAUUAUGUUUUGCAACCAUGACUGUCUUGAGUUUGGCCUCACUUAAUAGCAUUUGCAAUUGAGUUUGACUUGUUCACAUUUUAAAAGCUAAGUGUGAAGAAAAGAUCUGAUAUAUGUAAUUACUUAUUAAUUGGUAUCUACAUAAAAUUAAACUAGUUUUCUGUGACUUCAAGUGUGAGCCCAAAAAUAUCUGAGACAGUUCUCAAUCGAUUUAGAAAGAUUAUUUUGCCAAGGUUAAGGACAGGCCCAUAACAGCCUCAGAAGAUCCUGAUGACAUAUGCCCAAGGUGUUCGGGGUAGAGCUUGCAUUUAUGCAUUUUAGGGAGUUAUAAUAUAUCAAUCAAUACAUGUAAGGUGUACAUUGGCUCAAUCUGGAAAGGUAGGACAACUCAAAGCAGGGGCUUCCAGAUCACAGGUAGAUUUAAAGAUUCUUGAUUGGCAUUGAUUGAACAGUUAUUAUCUAAAGACCUGGAAUCAAUAGGAAGGAAAUGCCUGGGCUAUGAUAAGAAGUUAUGGAGACCAAAGUUUUAUAAUGCAGAUGAAGCCUCCAGGUAGCAGACUUUAGAGGGAAUAGACUGUAAAUAUUUCUUAUCAGUCCUAAGGUCUGUUGAAGUUUAUGCUGGUCAGCUUUUCCUGAAUUCCAAAAGAGAGGAGGGUAUUAUGGAGUCAUGUCCAACCUCCCCUUCCCAGCAUGGCCUAAACUAGUUUUUCAGGAUAACUUUGAAAUGCCCUUGGCUGAGAGAAGGGGCUUGUUCAGAUAGUUGGGAGACUUAGAAUUUUAUUUUUGGUCGACUCAGGCAACCAAUUCAAGUUACAUAGAUACCAUAGAGCCUACAGUAAACAAUACAAAAUAAAUUGGACUGAAAGACUUGAUAUCGGUGGUAGUAACUCACUUUAAAAAAACCUUUCUAAGCUCGAAAUAAAUUAAAAAUAGAAUAACACUUCAGCCAUUUACUGGCACAGACUUUUCCUUUAUAAAAAUAUAACUUGGAAGAGGGAAAAUUCCAUAUUUUGUUAUUAGCGAAAUGAGGCAGUGCAGAGAAAAUAAGUUAUCAGUGAAAGAAUUCAAGGCCUAUUUCUUCUACUUAGGAAGAAAACCUGCUUUAAAAUUAGUUAACAGAAGCCUUAUUACAUAAGCCCUAGAUAUACAUCAUUAAAAAUAAACAAAACAUCUGUAAAUAGAACAUUAAAGUGAAAGAAAAAAUUAAAACUUAUCUAAACCCCUCUUUCUAUUGAUAAUCGCUAUUAAUGUCUAGUAUAAGCUUUGAGUUUUUGGAAAGCCUAAAGCCCUUUAGCUCUCUGAAGCAGUUUGAUAUAAAUGGGACAUUGAACUAGUUUCACUGACUCAUUAAUGCAAAAACCAUUAGGUCAUUGGCUUGAAAACAUCGGUAGCAAUUAGUUUCAGUUAUUGAAUACCUAGGAAUUAAUUGAGUUAUAUUACAAAAUUAAAUGUUUUAAUCUCUUUCAAAUUUAAACGCAAGACUUCCUUCUACAAAUUAACCAGGGAUUUAGAUAUCUAUUCAGGUAUAUAUCAAAAAAAGGCGAUUCCCAUUUUCAAACAUAGUCCCAUAAAGGAAUAUUUUAUUAGUCAAGAUUUUUUACAUGCUGCCAAAAAGGUACAAUAUGUAUUUUCAUGUAUUCUUGGGGCAAAGAAAACAGACUAAAAUGUUCAUUGUUUUCCUGAUUACAAUCGAAAAAAAAGCAAAGAAAAUGAAAGUUGCUUCUUA